rnacentral:rRNA from 1 species
AUUGAACGCUGGCGGCAGGCCUAACACAUGCAAGUCGAACGGUAACAGGAAACAGCUUGCUGUUUCGCCGACGAGUGGCGGACGGGUGAGUAAUGUCUGGGAAACUGCCUGAUGGAGGGGGAUAACUACUGGAAACGGUAGCUAAUACCGCAUAACGUCGCAAGACCAAAGAGGGGGACCUUCGGGCCUCUUGCUAUCGGAUGUGCCCAGAUGGGAUUAGCUAGUAGGUGGGGUAACGGCUCACCUAGGCGACGAUCCCUAGCUGGUCUGAGAGGAUGACCAGCCACACUGGAACUGAGACACGGUCCAGACUCCUACGGGAGGCAGCAGUGGGGAAUAUUGCACAAAGGGCGCAAGCCUGAUGCAGCCAUGCCGCGUGUAUGAAGAAGGCCUUCGGGUUGUAAAGUACUUUCAGCGGGGAGGAAGGGAGUAAAGUUAAUACCUUUGCUCAUUGACGUUACCCGCAGAAGAAGCACCGGCUAACUCCGUG